rnacentral:rRNA from 1 species
CACAAGCGGAGGAGCAUGUGGUUUAAUUCGAUGAUACGCGAGGAACCUUACCUGGGCUCGAACGUAAGAUGACUGUAGGUGAAAGCUUACAUCUCUUCGGAGCAUUUUACGAGGUGCUGCAUGGUUGUCGUCAGCUCGUGCCGUGAGGUGUCGGGUUAAGUCCCAUAACGAGCGCAACCCCUACCUUUAGUUGCCAUCAGGUUAAGCUGGGGACUCUAAAGGAACUGCCUACGCAAGUAGUGAGGAAGGCGGGGAUGACGUCAAAUCAGCACGGCCCUUACGUCCAGGGCUACACACGUGCUACAAUGGCCGAUACAGAGGGCAGCUACCUGGUGACAGGAUGCAAAUCUCCAAAGUCGGUCUCAGUUCGGAUCGGAGUCUGCAACCCGACUCCGUGAAGUUGGAUUCGCUAGUAAUCGCGCAUCAGCCAUGGCGCGGUGAAUACGUUCCCGGGCCGU